AGGAUUAGAUACCCUGGUAGUCCACGCCGUAAACGAUGAUCACUCGCUGUUGGCGAUACACAGUCAGCGGCUAAGCAAAAGCAUUAAGUGAUCCACCUGGGGAGUACGGCCGCAAGGCUGAAACUCAAAGGAAUUGACGGGGGCCCGCACAAGCGGAGGAACAUGUGGUUUAAUUCGAUGAUACGCGAGGAACCUUACCUGGGCUUAAAUGUUGAGUGCAUGAGGUAGAAAUACUUCUUCCCUUCGGGGCUCUCAGCAAGGUGCUGCAUGGUUGUCGUCAGCUCGUGCCGUGAGGUGUCGGGUUAAGUCCCAUAACGAGCGCAACCCUUAUCGUUAGUUGCCAGCGGGUAAUGCCGGGAACUCUAACGAAACUGCCGGUGUAAACCGAGAGGAAGGUGGGGAUGACGUCAAAUCAGCACGGCCCUUAUGUCCAGGGCCACACACGUGUUACAAUGGCCGGUACAGAGGGCAGCUACCUGGAGACAGGAUGCGAAUCUCCAAAGCCGGUCUCAGUUCGGAUCGGAGUCUGCAACUCGACUCCGUGAAGCUGGAUUCGCUAGUAAUCGCGCAUCAGCCAUGGCGCGGUGAAUACGUUCCCGGGCCUUGUACACACCGCCCGUCAAGCCAUGGAAGUUGGGGGUACCUGAAGUCCGUAACCGCAAGGAGCGGCCUAGGGUAAAACCAGUGACUGGGGCUAAGU
rnacentral:rRNA from 1 species